AACCAUGAUGAGGACAAGCAUUCAACAUGUCUUUAAACAUUUCCCAACAUUGAUAAAAGGUUUCACUAUCUUUUUGCCCAAAAUUCAUAAUCGGCCUUUUUAGGGC